rnacentral:tmRNA from 2 species
GGGGGUGUACUGAUUUCGACGGGGGUACAUGACGCAUAGGAAGCGAGUAGAGGGAACUCAUGGGCCCGCUUUAAAAAACUAUGGGAUUAAAGAUAAACGCAGAAGACAAUUUUGCAUUAGCAGCUUAAUAUAGCCGCUCGUUCUACCUUUGAGGCCCACGGCUUAGGAUAGGGCGUCGAUUAGUGGGGAACCGCACUUAGGAAAGCUUUGACUUAAGGACGGAAUUUAUGAAGCUACUAAAGUAGAAACCCGGUUUCUAGGGGUUCUAUGGAGGGAAUGUUAAAAUAGAAACUGCACUCGGAGAUGCCUAUGUGGAGUGGCUUUCGGACAGGGGUUUGAUUCCCCUCACCUCCACCA